rnacentral:rRNA from 1 species
UUGUUGGUGAGGUAAAAGCUUACCAAGGCUUCGAUCAGUAGCUGGUCUGAGAGGACGACCAGCCACACUGGGACUGAGACACGGCCCAGACUCCUACGGGAGGCAGCAGUGGGGAAUUUUGGACAAUGGGGGCAACCCUGAUCCAGCCAUGCCGCGUGAGUGAAGAAGGCCUUCGGGUUGUAAAGCUCUUUCAGCCGGAACGAAACGGUUACGGAUAAUACCCGUGACUACUGACGGUACCGGAAGAAGAAGCACCGGCUAACUACGUGCCAGCAGCCGCGGUAAUACGUAGGGUGCAAGCGUUAAUCGGAAUUACUGGGCGUAAAGCGUGCGCAGGUGGUUUUGUAAGUCAGAUGUGAAAGCCCCGGGCUCAACCUGGGAACUGCGUUUGAAACUACAAGACUAGAGUGUGGCAGAGGGGGGUGGAAUUCCGCGUGUAGCAGUGAAAUGCGUAGAGAUGUGGAGGAACACCGAUGGCGAAGGCAGCCCCCUGGGUUAACACUGACACUCAGGCACGAAAGCAUGGGGAGCAAACAGGAUUAGAUACCCUGGUAGUCCAUGCCCUAAACGAUGUCAACUAGUUGUCGGGCCUUUACGGGCUUGGUAACGUAGCUAACGCGUGAAGUUGACCGCCUGGGGAGUACGAUCGCAAGAUUAAAACUCAAAUGAAUUGACGGGGACCCGCACAAGCGGUGGAUUAUGUGGAUUAAUUCGAUGCAACGCGAAAAACCUUACCUACCCUUGACAUGUAUCGAAGCCCGCAGAAAAGCGGGGGUGCCCGAAAGGGAACGAUAACACAGGUGCUGCAUGGCUGUCGUCAGCUCGUGUCGUGAGAUGUUGGGUUAAGUCCCGCAACGAGCGCAACCCUUGUCAUUAAUUGCCAUCAUUUAGUUGGGCACUUUAAUGAGACUGCCGG